rnacentral:rRNA from 1 species
GAUGAGUAGGGCGGGACACGUGGUAUCCUGUCUGAAUAUGGGGGGACCAUCCUCCAAGGCUAAAUACUCCUGACUGACCGAUAGUGAACCAGUACCGUGAGGGAAAGGCGAAAAGAACCCCGGCGAGGGGAGUGAAAAAGAACCUGAAACCGUGUACGUACAAGCAGUGGGAGCACGCUUAGGCGUGUGACUGCGUACCUUUUGUAUAAUGGGUCAGCGACUUAUAUUCUGUAGCAAGGUUAACCGAAUAGGGGAGCCGAAGGGAAACCGAGUCUUAACUGGGCGUUAAGUUGCAGGGUAUAGACCCGAAACCCGGUGAUCUAGCCAUGGGCAGGUUGAAGGUUGGGUAACACUAACUGGAGGACCGAACCGACUAAUGUUGAAAAAUUAGCGGAUGACUUGUGGCUGGGGGUGAAAGGCCAAUCAAACCGGGAGAUAGCUGGUUCUCCCCGAAAGCUAUUUAGGUAGCGCCUCGUGAAUUCAUCUCCGGGGGUAGAGCACUGUUUCGGCAAGGGGGUCAUCCCGACUUACCAACCCGAUGCAAACUGCGAAUACCGGAGAAUGUUAUCACGGGAGACACACGGCGGGUGCUAACGUCCGUCGUGAAGAGGGAAACAACCCAGACCGCCAGCUAAGGUCCCAAAGUCAUGGUUAAGUGGGAAACGAUGUGGGAAGGCCCAGACAGCCAGGAUGUUGGCUUAGAAGCAGCCAUCAUUUAAAGAAAGCGUAAUAGCUCACUGGUCGAGUCGGCCUGCGCGGAAGAUGUAACGGGGCUAAACCAUGCACCGAAGCUGCGGCAGCGACGCUUAUGCGUUGUUGGGUAGGGGAGCGUUCUGUAAGCCUGUGAAGGUGUGCUGUGAGGCAUGCUGGAGGUAUCAGAAGUGCGAAUGCUGACAUAAGUAACGAUAAAGCGGGUGAAAAGCCCGCUCGCCGGAAGACCAAGGGUUCCUGUCCAACGUUAAUCGGGGCAGGGUGAGUCGACCCCUAAGGCGAGGCCGAAAGGCGUAGUCGAUGGGAAACAGGUUAAUAUUCCUGUACUUGGUGUUA